GGGGGCGUCACGGUUUCGACGGGAUCGUCUGCGGGAAAGAGGCAUGCCGGGGUCUGGGCACCCGUAAUCGCCUGGAAAACAAUAAUUGCGAACAAUCAACUCGCAUACGCAGCUUAAUUAAUUAAGUUGCCGUCUUCCGCGGCUUCGCCUGUGGGCUUCGAGAGGACGUCGCACAGCAGGCUGGUUCUCCCGGCUGGACCGGGUCGAGAGAAUGAAAUUCACGGUCUGGCAAUGCGCGCAUCUUGUCCGUUCUGAGCGCGCUGCGCGACAUCUUCGGAACGUGACUGAGCAUGGAGUCUCUUUUUUGACUGCGAUUUCGGACGCGGGUUCGACUCCCGCCGCCUCCACCA
rnacentral:tmRNA from 1 species